rnacentral:rRNA from 1 species
UACGGAGGGGGCUAGCGUUGUUCGGAAUUACUGGGCGUAAAGCGCACGUAGGCGGCUUUGUAAGUUAGAGGUGAAAGCCCAGGGCUUAACCCUGGAAUUGCCUUUAAGACUGCAUCGCUAGAAUCGUGGAGAGGUGAGUGGAAUUCCGAGUGUAGAGGUGAAAUUCGUAGAUAUUCGGAAGAACACCAGUGGCGAAGGCGACUCACUGAACACGUAUUGACGCUGAGGUGCGAAAGCGUGGGGAGCAAACAGG